GCCCCUGUGGCGGAAUCGGUAGACGCGGCGGAUUCAAAAUCCGUUUCCUUUGGAGUGCCCGUUCGAGUCGGGCCAGGGGCACCA
rnacentral:tRNA from 1 species